rnacentral:rRNA from 1 species
GAUGAACGCUGGCGGCGUGCCUAAUACAUGCAAGUCGAGCGAACAGACGAGGAGCUUGCUCCUCUGACGUUAGCGGCGGACGGGUGAGUAACACGUGGAUAACCUACCUAUAAGACUGGGAUAACUUCGGGAAACCGGAGCUAAUACCGGAUAAUAUAUUGAACCGCAUGGUUCAAUAGUGAAAGACGGUUUUGCUGUCACUUAUAGAUGGAUCCGCGCCGCAUUAGCUAGUUGGUAAGGUAACGGCUUACCAAGGCAACGAUGCGUAGCCGACCUGAGAGGGUGAUCGGCCACACUGGAACUGAGACACGGUCCAGACUACUACGGGAGGCAGCAGUGGGGAAUCUUCCGCGAUGGGCGAAAGCCUGACGGAGCAACGCCGCGUGAGUGAUGAAGGUCUUCGGAUCGUAAAACUCUGUUAUUAGGGAAGAACAAAUGUGUAAGUAACUAUGCACGUCUUGACGGUACCUAAUCAGAAAGCCACGGCUAACUACGUG